AUACGGAGGGGGUUAGCGUUGUUCGGAAUUACUGGGCGUAAAGCGCACGCAGGCGGAUUAGUAAGUUAGAGGUGAAAUCCCAGGGCUCAACCCUGGAACUGCCUUUAAUACUGCUAGUCUAGAGUUCGAGAGAGGUGAGUGGAAUUCCAAGUGUAGAGGUGAAAUUCGUAGAUAUUAGAAAGAACACCAAAUGCGAAGGCAACUUUCUGGGUCACUACUGACACUGAGGAGCGAAAGCAUGGGUAGCGAAGAGGAUUAGAUACCCUCGUAGUCCAUGCCGUAAACGAUGUGUGCUAGACGUUGGAAAUAUAUUUUUCAGUGUCGCAGCGAAAGCAUUAAGCACACCGCCUGGGGAGUACGACCGCAAGGUUAAAACUCAAAUGAAUUGACGGGGACCCGCACAAGCAGUGGAGCAUGUGGUUUAAUUCGAAGAUACGCGCAGAACCUUACCAACACUUGACAUGUUCGUCGCGAGACCAAGAGAUUGGUUUCUUCACUUAGUUGGACGAAACAC
rnacentral:rRNA from 1 species